AGUUUGGCUCUGGGGUUUCCAGGCCCUUCCUGGAGGAAGCAUGUACCCUGCCGAGCAGAGGGCAGCAGAGUGGAAAGAGGCUGAAUUCCAGGUUCCCUGGGGCAGAGUGGCAGGAACGUGUCUCUCGCUUCCCCCAGCAGAGUUCCUUCCAGAGGCAGCUGGGCCCGGCCUGGGUGGCUCUAGCUGGACAAAGGUGGCAGCCUUUGGCAUUGAUGGGCACAUCUGGAUGGUAGUGUUUGGCCUCCUGGGCAGUUCCUGGGCUUGGAGGGAUCUCUGAAGGCUGAGUGUUCCCGUGGCCGCAGGCCCGAGAUGGGGGCUUCCAAAUGAGACGAAUACCAGCUUCCUCCUAAAAUAUCCUCAGCAGGGGCAACAUUUACCAUGCAAGGCGACUACAAACCAAGAUGAAUCAUGGUUCGGACUUCUCCUUUAUGCCCCGCCUCACUGUCUUUUAUCCAUGUCCGCAGUGCUGUUCUCAGGAGUCAGGAGAAAAGAGGAAAAUCAAUGACUGACCUGCCUACGAGCCACACUCGGUUAACCUGGCUUGAAAGGGCUUACCCACUUGACACUCCGAGGGAAACCAAGCAGGACUUCUCAGCACGCAGGGCACUUGGCGAUCCCCUGGGUUCAGGACACACGCUCUCAGCCUUUAAAAGCAUAACUCCGAGAAGGACUCCAUGGCACAAAAGCAGUUCCGAGCUCCUGUGUCCUCAUCACUGGGUGACCUGCACACACAGGGAUGGUCCUUCUGAGCCUCCGAAGUCACGUCAAUGCCUCAGCCCGUCCAGUCUGAGCCUGUGUCAUCAGCUGAGUGAGGUCAGGGCUGGUAGAGAGUUGGGCUCUUCUGAAAAGCUCACCCUAGGAGACUUGUCAUCUUUGGGGCAGCUCCACUUGUUUGAGAAUCCAGCUUCCUUCCACAGCCUUCAUGGGAAUUACGUAUUCAAGAAGUACCACCAGCAAGCAUGAGUCACAGCUCUUUUGGAUGGUGGGGAACAGAAAUCUGUUCACUCCAGCCCAUAGCAAGGCUUUGGGGUACUGACCUAGAGUUCUCAUGAAAACAGGACACAGCAAGGCCACCUGGGAGUAGGAAGCUACCCAAGACCUAGGUGCCUACUUUCUGCAUCCUCCAGGAGCCUCCUGCCCUUGGCUUCUUUCCGCCCCUCUGGCUCAUUCUCCUUUUCUGACCUCCUUUGUUUUCUCGUGAGAUCUGCUGACCCAUAACUUCAGUUCAGACUCCUUCCAGAGCUCACUGGAGCCCUGAUACCCAUGGUCUUGCAGCCCCACUUCCAGCAGCUCAUUGGCUGUGAUGUUUCUAGGGGCACACACAUCUCCAGUUCUCCUCUUCUUCUGGGCUCUCGGAAAGAUGGCACAUCCCUACACUACAGCAGUCAGGUAGGGCCAUGUGACUGUUCUGGCCAAUGGGCUGUGAGAGGAAGGGAGCAGGUGUCACCUUCCAGUCAAAGCACUUGAAAGCCACGUAAGCCCCUCCUGGGGUUUCCUCUUCUGCCUGGUGAACACUGAAGCCUCCCUUGGAAGAUGACGGUGAACCUCUGUCAACCCGGGGCCUGAGGAAUGAUUCUGUGGAGCAGAGAACUCUCUGCCCCACCCCCUCCCCAAAACCCACACUGCCAUGUAAUGCCAGGAAUGAACCAUGAGCAAAAGAAUAAACUUUGUUUUAAUCCA